rnacentral:lncRNA from 1 species
GGUGAGUAAUGUUUAAGGCCACUUGGAGAACUCUCUUGAGAUUACUGAUCAAGAAAAAACAAACCUCCUGAGGCUUGAUGAACAGAGAGACUCACUAUCAUGGGUUGAAAGAACCCCACUCCCACUCACAAAAUCAGUAAGUAACACUGAGCCUUUAUGUGCCCCACACUGGCUUAUGCGUUUUACAUGCAUCAUUUUUCCUGAUAAUGACCUUUAGAGUUGUGCUACCCUCAUUUUACAGAGAGGGAGACUGAGGCCCUAGUUAUACAUCUGGGAAAGGGGCACUGCUGUGUUUGUCACCAGGAAGUCCCUCCUGGCAUUUUUCCAUCAGGAGGCCUGGGGACACCCGCCACUCACGCCCUCCACUGAGGUGGGCAGAGCUUGUAAACUGGCUGGCCUUAGGCCCAAGCCCAUGGGUCCAAUUGGGGCAGGGCAUGAUUUUGGCUCCCAGAGACUAACCAGCUUCCACCUGUUGAAAUGCGUGGAAAGUGAUUCCAAUCCUUCCAUCUUUCAUUGUUGGAGCCCACAGCACAACUGCCAACCAAGAUGUCCACAGGACCUGGGCAGGGGGCACAGGUGUGGACCAAGGAACAUCACAGGCACGUGACCUAAUGGAGUGGCCCCUCCUCAGCUUCCUGUUGUCGCACUGCGACUUGAGCCCAGUGUAGCCAGAUCUUAACGGUUUUUCCAGUGAAGCUGGUAAUUGCAAUUUUUAGGUGACAAGCCCCCACAUUUUAUCCGUGGCAAAUGAAUUUUAAAAAGUUUUUAAAAAUAUCACUUUGUAAAACACUUGAGGGCCAGAUCUGACCCCCAAUUUGUACCCCCAGCUCCAGGACAAAGCAAGCAGGAGACCCAGACAUUAUUAUACAAUUCUGUAUUGAGCGACGUGUUUAUUACAGAACGUGUUCCUUUUUUUUUUUUUUAAUUUAAACAAAGUUCAUCAAUCUCUCAUAGAAACGGUUUUGUGGGUUUUUGUUCUGUUUACCGUUAUAGGACGUGAACCUGACAAAGUUGUUCACGGGUCUGCUAGCUUUAAGUACAACAGGAUUUCCGCGUUCAAAAGACUAUACUAAGUGCUUAAUCAAAUCCCGUCACACAAAAGCCAGAUUUAGUCCUCUAACAACUGCAGUCUGCAUAUUUGAUGACUCUGAAAAUUGGUCACUGUUUCCUAUUGUCAAAAUACAAAAAUACCUUCAUCUGGAUAAAAAUGUAUACAGUGGAAAACUCUUCAAUGCAUAGCCUGGGUGUAUGGAAAAGGAGGUUUUUCCUGCAGGGUUUGCGUUGCUCUUCAUUGACUGGUGUGGAGACUGCAGCCUGGGCUGGGUGCAUGAGAGUUGAGAUUUCUGGAACGGCCCUCAACUGUCCCCUUCUGGUCACUGGAUUUUGUUGGCCUGAGUUCCGAAAUGUUCGCUGUAUCCUUGAAACCCCCAGGCAUUGGGUUGGCACCACUAUGACCACCUUUUCAUCGUCAUUCUUGAUUCAGCUGCAAAGUCACCCAACUCAGCUUCCCCACAGAGUUUGAGAAAAAUAAAAGAAACAGUAAAAUAAAAAUGGGGAGAGGAGUUCCUGCUGUGGUGCAAUAGGAUUGGUGUCUCUGCUGCGUCAUGACGCAGGUUCGAUCCUUGGUCUAGCACAGUGGGUCAGGUCGCCACACUGUGGCACAGGUUGCAAUGGUGGCUCGGAUCUGAUCCCUGGCCUGGCAACUCCACAUGCCACGAGAUGGCCAAAAAAAUGAAAAAACAAAAAACCAGGAGAGAGUCAACAGCCACUAUGGUGGCUGUUCCAUUCAAAUUGGGAACUCUCUCCCUAGAAACCAGGACAACGAAGAUGCUGGAGGGAGGGCUUCUCUGAGUUGGGGUUUAAGUCUCCAUUCCCCAAAACGUCACGUGUUAGAAGGCGGGAGGAUGGACUUGGAGAUCGGGAUAUGGUGGUCAUGCUGUGGUCAAUCAACCUUUUAGCUUCAUUCUUCAUAAACUUGGAGGCGCAGACACCUUCCAGAAAGCACCAGUCAACUUGAGAAAGAAAAUGGUGAGAAGGGGAGCUGGGGUCUCUAGUUGAAUGAAUCUACUUUUUGGUGCCCGGUGCUGAGCUGGAUGCUUGUUAGAUGACCAACGCUGCUGUUUUCUCAAAACACGAGGAGGGGAAGGUGGCAGCCACAGUCCUGCUCUGGAAAGCCAGUGGGGAAAUUUCCUGUGUGUGGCCACGAUUCAGGUUGGGGAAUGGGGUCACUCUAGUUUAAGUGCCACCCUCCGAUCGCCUGCACCCCGCCCCCCAAUCUGGCUUUCCAAAGGAUUCGGAAGCACAUCUUGUCUACAGAUGGAUGAGAUGGAUGUCCAGCCCCCACGGUCCACAGGUUUCUGACUAGAGGGAGUGUAGCAGUUUGUCUUGUGCCAUGUUACAUCUCGGGAUGGCCGGCCACAGCCCACAUCUCUAUAGCAUUUAUAACGGCAGGGGACAUUCUGUCAUCAUGGUUGCAAAACAGACCACCAGAAUGAAACACAUCCUCAACGGUAUCAAGGUUUUCAUUUAGAGUCUUUUGGACUUUCUUUGUUCAACACGGUCUCUGGAAGGGCAGUAGCAAUGCACUGUGUCUCACAGACGUGGGAAAAAACUGCGGUUCAAAGGUUAUCUAAAUUUUGGUCAGUCUUAGAGUGUUUUGUGAUGGCUUUGAACAAAUUGUCUCCUUUUAAUCUCAUCUAGUGGCAAAAAUGACACAACUUCAGUGUAUACUUCGCAACAGUUGUGACAGCAUCCUGAUUUUAUAACUCUCUGUAAUAUCAAAAGAGCAUCGGCUGGGAAUAAAUUCCAAAGGAUCCUUUAUUAAAAUAUCUAAAAGAGGU